rnacentral:rRNA from 1 species
AUCUACAACCAUACCACCCUGAAUGUGCCUGAUAUCAUCUUAUUUCAGAAGCUAAGCAGGGUUGGGCCUAGUUAGUACUUGGAUAAGAGACUGCCUGGGAAUACUGGGUGCUAUUUUUU